GUAUUGCACCUACCGAAGACUAUCAAACUCCGAAUGCCGUCAUCUUAUACUUGGGAGUCAGACUGUGGGUGAUAAGAUUCAUAGUCGAAAGGGCAACAGCCCAGAUCGUCAGCUAAGGUCCCUAAAUGUAAGUUAAGUGGUAAAGGAUGUGGGAUUGCACAGACAACCAGGAUGUUGGCUUAGAAGCAGCCACUCAUUCAAAGAGUGCGUAAUAGCUCACUGGUCGAGUGAUCCUGCGCCGAAGAUUUCCGGGGCUAAAACUUACUACCGAAGCUACGGCAUCAGUAAUGAUGGGUAGGGGAGCUUCCCAUACGGGUUGAAGCAUGACCGUAAGGACAUGUGGACAGUAUGGGAGUGAGAAUGUUGGCAUGAGUAGCGAGAUGUGGGUGAGAAUCCCACAGGCCGUAAACCCAAGGUUUCCAGGGGAAGGUUCGUCCGCCCUGGGUUAGUCGGGACCUAAGCUGAGGCCGAAAGGCGUAGGUGAUGGACAACAGGUUGAUAUUCCUGUACUACCGAUAACCGUUUGAGAGAUGGGAUGACACAGUAGGAUAAGCUAAGCACACUGUUGGUUAUGUGUGCCCAAGCAUUGAGGCAGUCAAAGUAGGCAAAUCCGCUUUGAUAAUGCUGGGAUGUGAUGGGGAGCGAAAUUUAGUAGCGAAGUAGCUGAUUUCACACUGUCAAGAAAAGUCUCUAUCGAGGUUAAAGGUACCCGUACCGCAAACCGACACAGGUGGGUGAGGAGAGUAUCCUAAGGCCAGCGAGAGAACUGUUGUUAAGGAACUCGGCAAAAUGACCCCGUAACUUAGGGAUAAGGGGUGCCACCAUCAGGUGGCCGCAGAGAAUAGGCCCAAGCGACUGUUUACCAAAAACAUAGGUUUCUGCUAAGUCGCAAGACGAUGUAUAGGAGCUGACGCCUGCCCGGUGCUGGAAGGUUAAGGGGAUCUGUUAGAGCAAUCGAAGCAGUGAACUUAAGCCCCAGUAAACGGCGGCCGUAACUAUAACGGUCCUAAGGUAGCGAAAUUCCUUGUCGGGUAAGUUCCGACCCGCACGAAAGGCGUAACGAUUUGGGCACUGUCUCAACAACAGACUCGGUGAAAUUGUAAUUCCGGUGAAGAUGCCGGAUACCUGCGACAGGACGGAAAGACCCCAUGGAGCUUUACUGUAGCUUGACAUUGGGUCUUGGUACUACAUGUACAGGAUAGGUGGGAGGCUUUGAAACCAGGACGCCAGUUUUGGCGGAGCCAUCCUUGGGAUACCACCCUUGUAGUACUGGGACUCUAACCAUAGGCCAUGAAUCUGGUCUUGGGACACUGUCAGGUGGGCAGUUUGACUGGGGCGGUCGCCUCCCAAAAGGUAACGGAGGCGCUCAAAGGUUCUCUCAGUACGGUCGGAAAUCGUACGUAGAGUGUAAAGGCAAAAGAGAGCUUGAUUGCAAGACAUACAGGUCGAGCAAGGAUGAAAAUCGGACUUAGUGAUCCGGUGGUUCUGCGUGGAAGGGCCAUCGCUCAACGGAUAAAAGCUACCCUGGGGAUAACAGGCUUAUCUCCCCCAAGAGUCCACAUCGACGGGGAGGUUUGGCACCUCGAUGUCGGCUCAUCACAUCCUGGGGCUGUAGUAGGUCCCAAGGGUUGGGCUGUUCGCCCAUUAAAGUGGUACGCGAGCUGGGUUCAGAACGUCGUGAGACAGUUCGGUCCCUAUCCGUCGCAGGCGUAGGAAAUUUGAGAAGACCUGUCCUUAGUACGAGAGGACCGGGAUGGACGUACCUCUGGUGUACCAGUUGUUCUGCCAAGGGCAUGGCUGGGUAGCUAUGUACGGAAUGGAUAAGCGCUGAAAGCAUCUAAGCGCGAAGCCAACUUCAAGAUAAGAUUUCCCACCGCAAGGGUAAGACCCCAGAAAGACUAUCUGGUUGAUAGGUCGAAGGUGUAAGUGCAGCAAUGUAUUUAGCUUAUCGAUACUAAUAGGUCGAGGACUUGACCAA
rnacentral:rRNA from 1 species